rnacentral:tRNA from 1 species
GGGGAUAUAGCUCAGUGGUAGAGCACCUGUUUAGUGGACAUGGAGCUUUGAGUUCAAUUCCCAGCACUGCUG